GACGAACCGUGCGAACGUUGUUCGGAUUCACUGGGCUUAAAGGGCGCGUAGGCGGGGGGUCAAGUCUGAGGUGAAAUCUUUCGGCUCAACCGGAAAAGUGCCUCGGAUACUGACUCCCUCGAGGGGGGUAGGGGCAUGUGGAACUUCCGGUGGAGCGGUGAAAUGCGUAGAUAUCGGAAGGAACGCCGGUGGCGAAAGCACUCUGCUGGGCCGACACUGACACUGAGAGACGAAAGCUAGGGGGAGCGAAUGGGG
rnacentral:rRNA from 1 species